UACGAAGGGGACUAGCGUUGUUCGGAAUUACUGGGCGUAAAGCGCACGUAGGCGGAUUUGUUAGUCAGGGGUGAAAUCCCGGGGCUCAACCUCGGAACUGCCUUUGAUACUGCAAGUCUCGAGUCCGAUAGAGGUGGUGGAAUUCCUAGUGUAGAGGUGAAAUUCGUAGAUAUUCGCAAGAACACCAGUGGCGAAGGCGGCUCACUGGCCCGGUACUGACGCUGAGGUGCGAAAGCGUGGGAGCAA
rnacentral:rRNA from 1 species